AAAGCCAGAGAGAGCCCUGGCAAUUAAAGUCUAUCAUCUUAUAACAUUGCAAUUACAGUUAAGAUCCCUUCACAGAAGAGAUUUCAGAUUUCUGAAUUACUGGUUAUAUUUACUAAUGAUGCACAAAUAAUCUAAACAUACAACAAUAUUAUUCACAGUGGGGGAACUAGUUUUCUUUACAAAAUCCACAUUAAAAUGGAUACCAUUGGUAAACAGCAAACCAAUACAUUUGUCUCUGCCAAUACGCCUAAACCUCAGAGUUAACAGUGAAUCUCUCAUAACCAAAGGCUAUAUAAUCCAAGUACAGCUUCCGUUCCAGAAGCCAAAGUCAGGAUUGUAGCAAAUGAGUAAUGAGGUGCAUCCUGCAAUCAGCAGUGAAAACAAAGAAAUCAAAAGGGGGUCUAUAGCUCUAUAUACACAGAGGAAUGAAAUUAAUAAUAAUUAAGUAUAAUAUCACCAAGAAAAGAACCAGGAAGAGAGAAGUGGGGUUGACAGAAACAGUUGCCGAAAAUUGUAUAAUUCCUAACAUGAAAUUAGGAAAUAUUUCGAGCCAUCUUUCAGCUAGUCUCUAUAGGCUCCCAGCGGCAGAUAAGGCACCAUGGAGAAGGCACUCGCUGCUGACUCAAUUCUGGAGCCAAUUACAUGGUUUAGACUUGAGAGUAUAAAUGCAUGCAGGUAACAGAAUCAUCUAAUACCAAUAAUGCAAAACAAUUUGCCAAAAAAGUGUAAACAUAGAAAACUGGAGGAAUAUAAAAGUAACGAAUUUAGCUCCUUUAAAUUUGAAGGAAACCAUGGAGAAGCAAAGGCUCCCUCCAAUCGUGUAAGUAGCUCGCUUUGGGCACCAUGCAAAAGGUGGAUUGCUAUUGUAAACAACAAACACCCGUGUCUGACUGGAUGCCCCUCAACUGUUGAGCUCCUAAAAAACUACAUUGCAACUUACAUUUUCGUUCUUAAAGCACUAUAAAAUAACUAAAAACAAGAACAUGAAAAAAAGCUCAAAAAUUUGAAGGGAAACAAGACAAUAGUGAAAUGUGAACGGGUUAUUGUGUCAUGAAACAAAGUGAGUUUCAUGGGUCUUCUCCCGUUUAACUAAAUCUACGCUCCAAGCGGCAGUCAGGUCGCCAUGGAUUGGCACCUGCUGUUGACUCUGAUAUGGAGCUAAUCUGCUAUCAGUCUAAUCACAUUUUACCGGAGAAUACUCAUUCGCAAACAAAAAAAUUAAUAGUUUAGCAACUCAGGGAAAAAGGGUUUAAUACGAAACAAGACGAAAAUCUCCAGUACCUGAAAAAAUUCUGGACUCAGCUGACUGAAAAUUCCCUCUUCCUGGCAACAACUCCCAAGGUAGCAAGAAAUUUGUUCUUUGAGGCUAUAUUUUAACUGUCAGAGGAAUUCCACUCACUGAUAGCUACCCAAGUGAUCAAAUAAUAAGAUAAGAUCCAAAGAAGAAAAGCAAGAUAAAAGCAUUUACCUCGGUGCCAGAGUAUUUGUAUAAGAUGCAAUCGUACGGAUUGCUGCUGCAUAGAAUAUUAGACGACUGAUAGUGAAAAAGGAAAGAUUCUGGGUGGAAAGAGCGUAGCGUUGAACAUUCUGGCUGUACUAUUAAGGUUUGGGAUCUAAGAUAGGUAAGAUUAAAAAAAAGGCAACGGAAGGGAACUCAGAGAAGCGGAGGAAGUGAAGCAGAGUGAACUGAAAAAGGGGAGGUGGCGUAAGUUGAGUUGAGAAGUGUUGAG
rnacentral:lncRNA from 1 species